rnacentral:lncRNA from 1 species
GGAGACAAGGAGACUGAGACUCCACACUGUGGAGAUGAGCAAUCAUGACAUACUUUACUUCUUUCCUUUUCUUAGACACUGUUACUUUGUCAGACGCAGUACAUGAACCGCACCAGCAAAUCUCUCCACUCCUGGGAAUGAAGGCCAGUGUUACCUUCACUGCAGAUGACAAAAAAAUAAUGGUUCCCUUGCCCCCUCUCAGGUACCCCAACCAGCACACAUGCUCACAUUCACAGACACACGCUUACCUUUGGCUUUUGACCACUCUAUUUUCAGUGAAGUAUCACUUGUCUUUUGAGAAACUCAUAUAUUACAUAAUAUUUAUCCCUGUGAAGCUCAAAAUAUACUAAAUGAUACAUUGUAUGUUUGCUUCCUGUAAAUCUUUAUUUAAGCAAUUUAUAUGUACUUUGUGAGUUGUCCUACUGUGCAUUUUAAAGGGAUAGCAUUUGUUGAUAAUCAAUUAGAAUUUUGAUAAAAUUCACCAGACAUUGAGCUCUGACUAAGAAAUGAAACACCUAUGACAUAAUUGCUUCAGUGGGAAAACAUAUGACCUACCCCAUCUUCUUCUUAGUUACAAUCUAUUCUGAAUUAAUAAUAGUCUGGGGAAAUCU